UCAAACAUGAAGCUGAUCGUCUCACACCACCUAUCAUAGCUGAUUUUAAUGGAGAUGGAAAGAAGGAGGUUAUCGUUGCUACAAACGAUGCAAAGAUUCAGGCGUGUGGAUGAAGGUUUGCGGAGAUCACCCUUUGGCCUGACAAGAUCUGUGUUGCCUCUGGGAUGUGGCAAUGGCCUCUGGUGUUAUUGAUAGGUACUAUAAAGAUGGGUAACCAAAGAAGCAGAUUUUGGUUGUUGUUACCUCUGUUUGGUCUUUGUUCUUCUUUGAUCACAACCUGAGAAACAUCUGGGAAACGAAUCUGCAGCGGUAGAAGGACGGUGACACUGGUUUGGUUAUUGUUGGUGGACGGAUGGAGAUGCAGCCAUAUAAUCACAUGGACCCAUUUGAGGAACUUGACAUGACAGAAAAAAAAUGCGGAGCAACACAAGGAGAAGUACUACUGAGAAACAGGCCUCUGAAGAUUCUGAAGUUGAUAACUUGCGUCACUUUUCUGUUUAUUUAUUCGCUGGCCGAACUUGUGUUCUUCGGUUGAGUAAAAAAACUGAUGAUGUUAAAGCUCACACCUCAGAUGCGCCAAAAUUAAUUUCCCAACACAAUUACAAGCUAUGACGUGUAUUCUAUAAAUAGCCGUCACCCGGGAGAAGUAAACUUAACUCGUUCUCCAUUAAUCACUGAGAUAUGUAGUUAACUUGUUCUGGUUGUCUUUUAAAAAGAUUUAUGUUGCACUAUCAAACUAUAAUCUUUCAAAAGUUUUGAAACCUGAAAUAUGUCGUGGGUUGAAGUUUGAAUGCAUGGAAUUUAGAGAAUCAAUUCUUGGGGUUAUGCCCCAUCACUGGGACCGACGUGAAGAUACAUUGUUGAAGCUUGCUCAUUUCAGGCGACACAAGAGGAAAAUAUUAAAGAAGCAAGCUGGUAAGGCUACAAUCUCACAGACCUCAGGAACACACACCAGCUGGAAUAGACUUGUUGAGAAAGAUUCCAAAAUUGAUCAAGAAGGCUGCGCGCUAUGCUGGCUCGGCAACACCUAAUAAGGUGAAGCUCUUAUAAAACGUAAUGUUCCCAACUGAAAAUACCCAUAUUGUUUAUGAUAGCAAACCACAUGUUGCUACAUGGCAUUCAAUACAUACCGACCAUAACUAACUACACUAAGCUUUGGUGGGUUCCUACUGUUGUCGUGGCUCAUCAAAAAGAAGGAAUUGAAGCUAUUCAUUUGCCUACUGGUCGAACUCUUUGCAAGCUUCAUCUACUUGAAGGUGGGCUUCAUGCGGACAUAAAUGAAGAUGGUGUACUUGAUCAUGUCCAGGCGGUCGUAGGCAGUGUUAGCGAGAGAACUGUAGUUAGCGGAUCAAUGGAAGUGUUGAAACCUUUCUGGGCAGUGGCAACCUCAGGCGUUCCCGUCCGAGAGAAGCUCUUCAAUGUCUCUAUCUGUCAUCACACCGCCUUCAACUUCAUGCACUACGGAGAGCAUUCACGAAACUUUGCUGAUACAAGCGACACCUCUUCUUUGGAGAUUGCAACUCCCAUCCUCAUUCCCAGGAGAGGAAGUCACGGCAAUGUAAUCUUCUUGACAAAUCGUGGAGAGGCGACAUCAUACACGUCUGAUGUGCACGGCCGCCGCGAGCCCCUCUAGCAAUGGCAGCUUUAGACAGAAGCAACAUGGUCGAAUCUCCCGUCUCCAUCUGGUUUAACCAAAUCAGGGACGGUGGUCCCGACCCUGAAGUCGUUCUCGCUGCGCUUUCAUGAUAACCAACAUAUGAUCCUUGCGGGAGGAGAUCAAGCGGAAGUGAUCUUAUCUCUAGGAGGAAGCAUAUUGGCUUCUAUCGACUUACCGUUCCAGCCGACACAUGCACUCAUCGCUGAUGACUUCUCAAACGAUGGAUUAACGGAUGUCAUUGUGAUGACAUCAAAUGGGAUUUAUGGGUUCGUUCAGACCAGACAGCCCGGAUCUCUGUUUUUCAGUUCGUUGGUGGGAUGUCUCUUAGUAGUUAUGGCAGUUAUUUUCAUUGCUCAGCACUUAAAACUCCAUUAAAAUUAAGCCUCGACCUUCCAGUAGCUUUUGAUAAAAAGACCUUGGAGCAUAAUUAAUGCAGGUCUCUUAGGCUGGGGUUCAUAGGGCAUGAUUAACCUCGGUCUUUUAGGCAGGGUUCUUAACUUAUGAUUUGAUAUUUUUUUGUUUUCUUUGUUUUCUUUGUUUUUUACAUUUUUCAGUUAAGAGA